rnacentral:rRNA from 1 species
AUACGGAGGAUGCGAGCGUUAUCCGGAUUUAUUAGGUUUAAAGGGUGUGUAGGCGGUAUUUUAAGUCAGUGGUGAAAUCUUUCAGCUUAACUGAGAAACUGCCAUUGAUACUGGAAUACUUGAGUAUAGUUGAGGUAGGCGGAAUAUGUAAUGUAGCGGUGAAAUGCAUAGAUAUUACAUAGAACACCGAUUGCGAAGGCAGCUUACUAAACUAUUACGGACGCUGAUGCACGAAAGCGUGGGGAGCGAACAGGAUUAGAAACCCUAGUAGUCC